rnacentral:ncRNA from 2 species
ACAUAAUUUUACGGAUAAGGUGCCCCCCAGGGGGAGAAUAGGGAAGUCUGAGUAUGGGAAAGACUAUACAAUAGGCGCGGGCCCACCACUGUACCAGGGAGAUCUUACACGGCCACUCGUCAAGGGGAAGGCGUAAGAGUUAAUGAACUGGGAGCCAGGAGACCUGCCUUAUACCGCAACCAUCC